rnacentral:tRNA from 1 species
AGAGAUGUGGCUUUGUUGUAGAGUGCUUGCCUAGCAUGCACAAGGCCCUGGGUUCAAUCCCCAGCAUUGCAA